rnacentral:rRNA from 1 species
UGCCAUCCGCCGCGGUAAUACAGAGAGUGCGAACGUUGUUCGGAAUCACUGGGCUUAAAGCGCACGUAGGCGGCGUAACAAGUGUCGGGUGAAAGCCCACGGCUCACCCGUGGAACUGCCCGGCAAACUGUUAUGCUAGAGUGUGGUAGGGGAGAACAGAACUCCUGGUGGAGCGGUGAAAUGCGUAGAUAUCAGGAGGAAUACCGGUGGCGAAGGCGGUUCUCUGGUCCACAACUGACGCUGAGGUGCGAAAGCUAGGGUAGCAAACAGGAUUAGAUA